rnacentral:rRNA from 1 species
UACAGAGGGUGCGAGCGUUGUCCGGAAUCACUGGGCGUAAAGGGCGCGUAGGUGGUGGCUUAAGCGUGCGGUGAAAGCUCGGAGCUCAACUCCGAGUCGGCCGUGCGAACUGGGCUCACUGGAGCAUAGUAGAGGCAGGUGGAAUUCCGGGUGUAGCGGUGGAAUGCGUAGAGAUCCGGAAGAACACCGGUGGCGAAGGCGGCCUGCUGGGCUAUGGCUGACACUGAGGCGCGAAAGCUAGGGGAGCAAACAGG